GACGAACGCUGGCGGCGUGCUUAACACAUGCAAGUCGAACGGAAAGGCCCUGCUUUUGUGGGGUGCUCGAGUGGCGAAAGGGUGAGUAACAAGUGAGUAACCUGCCCUUGACUUUGGGAUAACUUCAGGAAACUGGGGCUAAUACCGGAUAGGAGCUCCUGCUGCAUGGUGGGGGGUGGAAAGUUUCGGCGGUUGGGGAUGGACUCGCGGCUUAUCAGCUUGUUGGUGGGGUAGUGGCUUACCAAGGCUUUGACGGGUAGCCGGCCUGAGAGGGUGACCGGCCACAUUGGGACUGAGAUACGGCCCAGACUCCUACGGGAGGCAGCAGUGGGGAAUAUUGCACAAUGGGCGGAAGCCUGAUGCAGCAACGCCGCGUGCGGGAUGACGGCCUUCGGGUUGUAAACCGCUUUCGCCUGUGACGAAGCGUGAGUGACGGUAAUGGGUAAAGAAGCACCGGCUAACUACGUG
rnacentral:rRNA from 1 species